GGUGAUUUGGCAGAUUAGUGCGAUAAAUUUAGAAUUUAAUUAAGUAUUAAAAAUAUACAUUCACUA
rnacentral:tRNA from 1 species